AAAGGAAUAGACGGGGGCCCGCACAAGCGGUGGAGCAUGUGGUUUAAUUCGACGCAACGCGAAGAACCUUACCAGGGCUUGACAUCCUUAGAAUCGGGAGGAAACUCCGGAGUGCCCUUCGGGGAGCUAAGAGACAGGUGGUGCAUGGUUGUCGUCAGCUCGUGUCGUGAGAUGUUGGGUUAAGUCCCGCAACGAGCGCAACCCCUAUAUUUAGUUGCUAACGAUUAAAGUCGAGCACUCUAGAAAGACUGCCGGUGACAAACCGGAGGAAGGUGGGGAUGACGUCAAAUCAUCAUGCCCCUUAUGUUCUGGGCUACACACGUGCUACAAUGGCCGGUACAAACGGAAGCGAAGUCGCGAGGCGGAGCAAAUCUGAGAAAACCGGUCUCAGUUCGGAUUGCAGGCUGCAACUCGCCUGCAUGAAGUCGGAAUCGCUAGUAAUCGCAGGUCAGCAUACUGCGGUGAAUACGUUCCCGGGCCUUGUACACACCGCCCGU
rnacentral:rRNA from 1 species